CCCAGGUUUAAGGGGCAUGGCAUGUUGGCACCAUUCACAGCUGGAUGGCAGAGCAAUGGUGUGCAUCUGUUGGUUAUUGAGAGAUCUAAGGGUUCUUAUGUUUAUGACAUCAAUGGGAACAAGUAUCCAGAUUCUCUAGCAGGACUGUGGUGUACAACUUUAGGAGAGUACCAAAUUUGUGAAGACUUUCAUUUCUUACAUUCGUUACUUUCAGCCGCUCAAUAAACCAAGGUAAAGAACGACAAGCACGGAAAAGGCUAGCUGUUGGCUGUGGGUGCUGAGCUGACGGACAAUGUGGAAGAAGGUGUGAUCUUGGCAGUGGCCCAUGAAGUACUUUUUUCUUUACAUGUUGAUCACUACUGCACUGUUCAAGUUCUUAAUCAAGUGACUGAUCGACUAUGAUUGUGGGUCACAACCAAGGGAAUGCUAACCGUGGUGGUGGUGGUGAUUGAAGAGCCCUUAAUCAAUUCGGCCUUAUAGAUUGGAGCACCAACAUGGGAUAUUGCACCAUCUAGCUCUGUCUAUCUGAUUCAUCUUAUUUUCUUGGUCUAUCAACUAGAGGAAUCUACAAGUAUGUGCUGCAUGUUUUCUGCUAACAGGAGAGCAACACAUUUGUGAAGACUUUCAUUUCUUGUUUACUUUCAGCCUGUCAUAAUUUUUUAACUGAAGACAUAUUAUUGUUAGUUGGAUGAGAGCUGAUGCUAUACUGCCAGUAGAUAGACUAGGGUGCAAACUGUCUUAAUCUGUGCAAAUAACAGUGCAAACAAACCUCGUAUUCUUUGAGGAACAAACUGAUAUUAUGGUUACCAUUUUUAACAGAAGCAGGAAUAUUAGUAAGCAUUAUAUAUUGAUGUUACAUGUUGUGCUGCACCUUAGGAUCGUCAGCUCGGCAUGGCCUUACAAAAUAUGUGCAUUAUUCGGCCAACCAUUCUUCCUUUUGCUACCUGAACUGACAACAAGCAUUGUAGUAACGUGUUGUUUAUGAGAAUUCCAGAUUCUUGAAUACGUUCCUGACCUCAUGCAAUCAAUAGUUGGUCUGAUCUCAUCCUCCGACGACCAAGAGUUCCGAGACGAAAGCGUGGUGCCCCUCGCGAAACAUAGGGACAUGACAGAAAGUUGCAAGUCCACAAGUUGAUCUAAGAUGUCUCGGUCAUCGCUUUUGUUCAUAACAUGGUAGACACAUUUUGUUCAUAUGGAAGUUGAUGCCGGCUUGGUGAUUGAAGGAUUGGUCACUUUCAUAAUACUCCCUCUGUACCAAAAUACUCGUAGUUGGGGGAACUUGAACUAAUUUCCCCCAACUACAAGUACUUCAGCACAGAGGAAGUAUUUUGUAGUAGCCAAGUGAUCGAACAAUUGGUCUCUUAGGAGCUUAGCCUUUAUAUUUUGCAGCAGGACACAUCUUGUAUGUCGACUUAUGUAUUACCUUCAUGGUUGUAGAAAACUCGAGUGAAGAUAACAAUUUUUCAAUAUAUGUUGAAUAAAUGUACUAGUGAAUGGUGAAUGGUGUCUUGUGAUGAAUAGAA